AGUGAACGCUGGCGGUAGGCCUAACACAUGCAAGUCGAACGGCAGCACAGUAAGAGCUUGCUCUUACGGGUGGCGAGUGGCGGACGGGUGAGGAAUACAUCGGAAUCUACUUUUUCGUGGGGGAUAACGUAGGGAAACUUACGCUAAUACCGCAUACGACCUACGGGUGAAAGCAGGGGAUCUUCGGACCUUGCGCGAUUGAAUGAGCCGAUGUCGGAUUAGCUAGUUGGCGGGGUAAAGGCCCACCCAGGCGACGAUCCGUAGCUGGUCUGAGAGGAUGAUCAGCCACACUGGAACUGAGACACGGUCCAGACUCCUACGGGAGGCAGCAGUGGGGAAUAUUGGACAAUGGGCGCAAGCCUGAUCCAGCCAUACCGCGUGGGUGAAGAAGGCCUUCGGGUUGUAAAGCCCUUCUGUUGGGAAAGAAAAGCAGCAGGUUAAUACCCCGCUGUUCUGACGGUACCCAAAGAAUAAGCACCGGCUAACUUCGUG
rnacentral:rRNA from 1 species